UACGAAGGGGGCUAGCGUUGUUCGGAUUUACUGGGCGUAAAGCGCACGUAGGCGGAUCGAUCAGUCAGGGGUGAAAUCCCAGAGCUCAACUCUGGAACUGCCUUUGAUACUGUCGAUCUGGAGUAUGGAAGAGGUGAGUGGAAUUCCGAGUGUAGAGGUGAAAUUCGUAGAUAUUCGGAAGAACACCAGUGGCGAAGGCGACUGACUGGACAGAUAUUGACGCUGAGGUGCGAAAGCGUGGGGAGCAAACAGG
rnacentral:rRNA from 1 species